AACGAACGCUGGCGGCAUGCUUAACACAUGCAAGUCGAGCGCCCCGCAAGGGGAGCGGCAGACGGGUGAGUAACGCGUGGGAACAUACCCUUUGGUUCGGAAUAACUCAGGGAAACUUGAGCUAAUACCGGAUACGUCCGUAAGGAGAAAGAUUUAUCGCCAAAGGAUUGGCCCGCGUCCGAUUAGCUAGUUGGUGAGGUAACGGCUCACCAAGGCUACGAUCGGUAGCUGGUCUGAGAGGGUGAUCAGCCACAUUGGGACUGAGACACGGCCCAAACUCCUACGGGAGGCAGCAGUGGGGAAUAUUGGACAAUGGGCGCAAGCCCGAUCCAGCCAUGCCGCGUGAGUGAUGAAGGCCUUAGGGUUGUAAAGCUCUUUUGUCCGGGAAGAUAAUGACUGUACCGGAAGAAUAAGCCCCGGCUAACUUCGUGCCAGCAGCCGC
rnacentral:rRNA from 1 species